CUUCUAGUGAGAGACAUGGUCUCCACCUGCUCUAAAACUUAAAAUUUCCUCCGUUAGAGAGGUUAAGAGACUAUCUGUCUCAUAUCAAGUGGAAGAAUCCAGGGAAAGAGCACUGAUACUGAUUGGUACACAUGGGAUCAGAUGCCCAUCCCUGACUAACCAAUAAAGUCUGGCUGAAUGAAAGGUUAGGUGUGACAUUUUCUAGAAGGAAAGGACUGAUCUUCAUGAUUGGCAGAACAAUACAUUUUCAGUAUGAGAUCCAAAAUAUGACUACAAAUUUUUAUCCCAUAGAUAGGUUAGUUAAGUUUUUUUCUACUAGUUUCCUUCACUGAGUUAAUGUGUGAGACUACCAAAGGAAUUUUAAUAUGUUCCAUUAAUCUGUCUUAUUGGUUCUUUAUGAACCCUACCAGCUGUCCAUACUCUCAAUCAUUGUUAUUCCAAAGAUGUAGUGAUGAAUAAAGACAGUCUCAUAAUUCUCCAAGCUAUGUUUCCUCAUAUUAAUUUGCUCCCAUGUGGCAUUACGUGUCAGGGCAAGCUCAGUUCCCGCCAAGGAAAAUCUAUAGGAAUCCCAGACCCAGAGUCCUAAGUCCUCAACUAUUAUUUCAAAGAAACUCCUUUUCAUGCCCACUCCAAAGCCUGCCCCAUGAUGGCUGACAGAAUUCUUUCAGAGGAAUUCUCAUCCACACCCACAGGUAUGGUUGAAUCUCCAUUACUCAGACAAGAAGAUGGAAAUACUGAAUAUUAUACUUCUAAAAGUCUGUGUUAUUUAUUCAUAAAUAACACUAUGUGGUUAACAUGAAUGGAUAUGUAGGACAUCUUUCUCUUGUUCUAGCAGGGCACAGUCAGGGUAAAGAUGAAUUCAGUUUACAUUGUUUAAACAUUACACAUCAGAAUCUUCAACACUAACAUUCAUAUUUAUCGUGACUUCACAGAUUUCCUCAUGAUGAUUCUCUCAAAAUAUGUCUUAUUCUUAAGAACAGCAACUGAUGGAACCCCCCUGUGCUAGUUUUAUAAAAUUAACAAGGCCAAAUUAAGUUUUUCUUCACCAGGCAUAUCAAUGAGGAUGGAUAAUGCAGCAGACAAUCUGGCUUUAAGUUUCAGAAGUCUUAAUCUAGUUGGACACAGGUUCCAAAUAAUAGCAUUGUGAGAAAAGAUGAAGAGCCAGGCUGUCCAUAUCAAAAGAUUCUCCAGAAUGGAAGAGAGGAAGAAUUGGAAGUAGUAAGAACUUCAUCUGUCAAUGUGUAACCUUAAGAAAAGGCUGUGUGCUUUUUCCACUAACUGAGCCCUGGUUUGGGUUUCGGAAGAGAGAAAAUAACAGGUAAUUCAGUUAGGUUUAUAGAAUUUUAAAGAAGAGACAACUUGUGUCCCAUUCCCAGUUAGAGGAUUUGAAAGUUUCCCUCAUUCCUGAAGCAGGCUGGGAGAAGUAGGAUAGACAUAUUCAUAUAGUAAUAAAGGAUCAAAUCUAAGAAGUUAUUUGGAUAUUACAUUUUUCUAGUAAGAAGUUUCAUUUCAUAUGUGCAACAUAAUUCCAUUGCUUUAAAUGUGAUGGAAAUAAUAAAUAUAAAAGAAUAUCAUUCCCCACUCCCAGAACUGGUAAAAGAAGUCUAUAAUGAAACAUGCUGAAAUGUUAACAGUGACUAUCUCUGGUUGGUGGGAUUAUGAAUGACUGUCAUUUUCAUCUUUAUACUGCUCUGAAUUUUGAAAAAUUUCCAUAAUAAAAGGGCUUUUUCAGUUUGGUUUGCCAUUACUCAUCCUUUAGUUUAUGUUUCAUCUCCCUGAUUUACAAACUCAUUAGUUGGGCAUUAUGUCCCUAUUUGAUACUCCUUUAAUAUUUUGGACAGCUCAUUGUCUUAUCUCCAGAGUACACUGAAAUAAUCACCUGUUUCUGAUUCUAGAGAUUUGGAGAUCCUAUCUUACUUAUCUUUGUACCAUCACAGAGUAAAAAAUCUGUGCUUAAUCUUUGUUAAAUCAACUAAUAAAAAAGGUCUACAUAAGAUUAUUUUAUGCUUUGCCCAAGUUACAGUUUCAGAUAAGAUUUUCUCUCUGUUAGGAAAAAAGCCCUUUACAUAAAUAAUACGUAAACACAUGUGAAUUGUGGUACAAUCUGAAAAUUACAGCAAAAUGUAAAAAAAUUCAGAUUCUUAGGUAAUAUAAGACCAUGUAAAAUGCAUCUGAAAACUCUUUGUUCACUAAUAGUUCGGUUGCUUAUGAUGAAGGUGAGAAAUUGCUAUAGGUACAUUUUGAUUUUUUUCUUAUAUUUUUCCCAUAUGACAUUUGCCAUCUUUCUUUGACAGGCAGAGUGCAAAGUCAAUAAUAAACACAAACAUUUUUCUUGUUUGUCAUCAUUUGAGAAUGUAUACUAAAAUUUACACAUAGAACACUGUGAAUAAUGCUUAUUUUAGUAUAAUUUUUCAUAACUUGGGAUAGAAAAGGACACGUUAAGGAUUAGUUACAAGAUUAACUCUGUAAGUGUGAUAUUGAUUAUUUUCAAGUUAGGAAUAGAAAUGACACAUUGCGGACCAUUUAACAAAGACAGUGAUAAUUAGGCUUAAAGGCUGAUAAUUGGAGAAGUAAUAAGUUGAGGCAUGCAUAUAUUUCUUGUUUAUAUAACAAGCAAAGGAAAAUUAGAUCUUUCCAUAAAAACAAGUCCCCUAAGGAUUUUAAAUCUCUGUAGUAAAGGUGAGAAAAAUGCUAUUAAAAGUUAGUCAUUUUGUUUUCUGGCCUACCUCUGAUUUUUGCAGAAUUUUUAAAAAUUUAAAUAGCACCUUGCUGAAUGAUGUGAUCUUUGUUCUCUUCUAAAUUAUCUCUUGAGUCCAGGGGCUAUGUCUUAUUAUUUGUUUCUGUAUAGUUGCUAGCACAUGGUAGGUACUCAAAUUUUUAUUGAAUUGAGUUAAAUUAAAUUAAGAUGCUGCCAUCUAGAACUAGAGAGUAGGCCUUCUAUGAGUUUCCCUGUAGGAGGAAA